AAAAAAACCGUGGCAACAGACGUGUGAAGACGGAGGGAGAAAUGGUGAUCCGGAUUCACUGGGGUUAAAGGUUUCGGUGGUGAAAUAGUAAGUCAUUGGGUAGAUCUCCAGUCUUAACCAGUAAACUGCGAUUGAUACUAUUAGUCUUGAAGACCGUGUAGGUCAGCGGAAUAUGUCAUGUAGCAGUGAAAUGCUUAGAUAGGACAUAGAACGCCAAUUGCGAAGGCAGCUGGCUACACGAAUAUUGACACUCAGGCACGAAAGCGUGGGGAUCAAACAGGAUUAGAUACCCUGGUAGUC
rnacentral:rRNA from 1 species